GACAGAGGUCCCGAGCGUUAGGCGGAAUCACUGGGCUUAAAGCGUGUGUAGGCGGAGUUCUAAGUACCUUGUGAAAUCCCACGGCUCAACCGUGGAACUGCUUGGUAUACUGGUUCUCUUGAGCCACCUAGGGGCAACCGGAACAAACGGUGGAGCGGUGAAAUGCGUAGAUAUCGUUUGGAACGCCAAUGGUGAAAACAGCUCGCUGGGGGUGUGCUGACGCUGAGACACGAAAGCCAGGGGAGCGAACGGG
rnacentral:rRNA from 1 species